rnacentral:rRNA from 1 species
UACGAAGGGGGCUAGCGUUGUUCGGAAUUACUGGGCGUAAAGCGCGCGCAGGCGGCUAUCCAAGUCAGUGGUGAAAGCCCGGAGCUCAACUCCGGAACUGCCAUUGAAACUGUUUAGCUUGAGGAUGAGAGAGGUGAGUGGAAUUCCCAGUGUAGAGGUGAAAUGCGUAGAUAUUAGGAGGAACACCAGUGGCGAAGGCGGCUUACUGGACUGUAACUGACACUGAGGCUCGAAAGCGUGGGGAGCAAACAGG